AGCGUAGGCGGGAGUUGCAAGACAGAGGUUAAACUGUUCGGGCUCAACCUGAAAUCUGCCUUUGUGACUGCAUUUCUUGAGGUAUGGCAGAGGCUAGUGGAAUUACCUGUGUAGCGGUGGAAUGCGUAGAUAUAGGUAAGAACACCAGAGGCGAAGGCGACUAGCUGGGCCAAUACUGACGCUGAGGACUCGAAAGUGGUGGGGAGCAAACAGGAUUAGAUACCCUGGUAGUCCACACCGUAAACGAUGAACACUAGAGUGCUGGGGAGUUUGUUCUUCGGUGUCGUCGCAAACGCAAUAAGUGUUCCGCCUGGGGAGUACGCUCGCAAGGGUAGAA
rnacentral:rRNA from 1 species